rnacentral:rRNA from 1 species
GUAUGCCUUGUCCCCUAUCUAUUGAGGGGACUCGGAUAUCCGAUUCAUCCGUUUCUCCGCGGGCUCCUGGAGUUUUAUGGCCUCCAACUGCAUAAUUUUACCCCGGCUUCCAUUUUACACAUCAUCGGCUAUGUUGCCCUCUGCAAGUUGUUUCUGGGCUGCGAGGCUCAUUUCGAGCUGUGGCAAAGGUUAUUUUGCCUCGUCCCUCGCACACAGAAGGGAUCACUUUAUCAAGUGGGCGGAGCCGGAAUAUGGCGCAUCGCCGAAACCGGAUACCUGUCCGGUACUCCGAAGAAGACGUCCGAAGACUGGCCUUCAGAAUGGUUUUACAUGGAGGACGUCCCCCUUCCGGACCCUGUUCGCGCGGGGCCUUCCUGA